UACGUAGGGACCAAGCGUUGUUCGGAUUUACUGGGCGUAAAGGGCGCGUAGGCGGCGCGGUAAGUCACUUGUGAAAUCUCUGAGCUUAACUCCGAACGGCCAAGUGAUACUGCAGUGCUAGAGUGUGGAAGGGGCAAUCGGAAUUCUUGGUGUAGCGGUGAAAUGCGUAGAUAUCAAGAGGAACACCUGAGGUGAAGACGGGUUGCUGGGCCAAAACUGACGCUGAUGCGCGAAAGCCAGGGGAGCAAACGGG
rnacentral:rRNA from 1 species